GGAGAGGUGGCAGAGCGGUUGAAUGCGGUAGACUCGAAAUCUAUUUUAAAGGCAACUUUAACGUGGGUUCAAAUCCCACCCUCUCCG
rnacentral:tRNA from 7 species